rnacentral:rRNA from 1 species
GACAGAGGGUGCAAACGUUGUUCGGAAUUACUGGGCGUAAAGCGAGUGUAGGCGGUCUGCUAAGUCGGGUGUGAAAGCCCCGGGCUCAACCCGGGAAGUGCACUCGAAACUGGCAGGCUAGAGUAUCGGAGAGGUUGGUGGAAUUCUCGGUGUAGAGGUGAAAUUCGUAGAUAUCGGGAGGAACACCAGUGGGGAAGGCGACUUCCUGGCCUGUUCUUGACGCUGAGGCGCGAAAGCUAGGGGAGCAAACGGG